rfam:Triticum aestivum genome assembly, contig: Triticum_aestivum_CS42_TGACv1_scaffold_093281_2AL
CACGUACUCCCUCCGUUUCGAAUUACUUGUCUUGGAUUUGUUUAGAUACGGAUGUAUCUAGACUCAUUUUAGUGCUAGAUAUUGAGUCUAGAUACAUCCGUAUCUAAACAAAUCCAAGACAAGUAAUUCGGAACGGAGGGAGUACAUG